AAAUUUGUGGCGUUAUACGGUUUUCAUAGCGAAUGAAAAGGGAAAUUGGUUAAAAACCAAUGCUGUACCCGCAACUGUAAGCUUAGUCCGUACUGCGGAUGUUUUUUGAAACUUUAUACCACUGAUCAUAUCGGGAAGGUCUUCAGAAAAACGCGAGCCAGGAUACCUGCCGUAAAUAGUGGUUUGAU
rnacentral:ncRNA from 2 species